AACAUGUAUUAUAACUGUCUAGUUAAGUUUUGUGUCUGAAAUAGGUUUUCAAAAGCAUAAUUUAUUCUCUUAACUAUAUUCCUUUCUCUUUUCAGUGUGUCCCUUCUGGGAAAGCCAUCUGACAAUUCCAUCAUGAAAGCUCCUACUGGGAAAAAUCUGAGAUUCCUACCUAAAAAGGUAAAGAAACAGGAAAAGCUCUUAAAAGGAGGCUUUUCACUUCACAAGAUGUUAAUUGAUGGACUGGAGUCAUGUGGAUUACAUGUGGAUUAUUGUGAUGUUUUAAUCAGCUGUUGGACUCUCAUUCUGACGGCACCCAUUCACUUCAGAGGAUCAACUGGAAUUCUACGGUGUGGUCUCCUGACUGGCCUGUUCUUAAUGCUUGGUUAGCAAUGGUGUCCCGUUUCCUGUGGCAUGACCUCGACCUUCUCCACACAUUCUAUAUCUCUGAUAUUCCCAUGGCAUCCUGGGUGCUAGGACUCCUCAGGCUGAUCCCACUGCAUGGUCUUUAUCAAUGAGGGCAUCGAACUGCAUGAGAUCAGUUAAUGCAACCACAACAAUAGAAUAUAAUGAUUACACUUGAUUCAAAAGUUUGUGAUUGGUAAGAUGUUUGUUUGAUUGUUUGUUUUUUUUAACUCACUUUCUUUAUGCUCACAAAAGCAGUAUAUAUUUAAAUAUAAUAAUAAAAAAAUACAGCAAAACA
ensembl:lncRNA